UCGAUUCGGGGAGGUAGUGACAAUAAAUAACAAUACAGGGCCAAUGGUCUUGUUAUUGGAAUGAGAACAAUUUAAAUAACUUAACGAGGAUCAAUUAGAGGGCAAGUCUGGUGCCAGCAGCCGCGGUAAUUCCAGCUCCAAUAGCGUAUAUUAAAGUUGUUGCAGUUAGAACGCUCGUAGUCGGAUUUCGGGGCGGGUCUACCGGUCUGCCGAUGGGUACGCACUGGUGGACGCGUCCUUCCUUCCGGAGACCGUGCCUACUCUUAACUGAGCGGGGGCGGGAGACGGAUCGUUUACUUUGAAAAAAUCAGAGUGUUUCAAGCAGGCAGCUCGCUCUUGCAUGGAUUAGCAUGGGAUAAUGAAAUAGGACUUUGGUGCUAUUUUGUUGGUUUCGAACACCGAAGUAAUGAUUAACAGGGACAGUCAGGGGCACUCGUAUUCCGCCGAGAGAGGUGAAAUUCUCAGACCAGCGGAAGACGAACUACUGCGAAAGCAUUUGCCAGGGAUGUUUUCACUGAUCAAGAACGAAAGUUAGGGGAUCGAAGAGGAUCAGAUACCCUCGUAGUCUUAACCAUAAACCAUGCCGACUAGGGAUUGGGGGAUGUUCACAUAUCGACUCCCUCAGCACCUUACGGGAAACUAAAGUCUUUGGGUUCCGGGGGGAGUAUGGUCGCAAGGCUGAAACUUAAAGGAAUUGACGGAAGGGCACCACCAGGUGUGGAGCCUG
rnacentral:rRNA from 1 species